GACGAACGCUGGCGGUGUGCUUAACACAUGCAAGUCGAACGGUAAGGCCCUUUCGGGGGUACACGAGUGGCGAACGGGUGAGUAACACGUGAGUAACCUGCCCUCAUCUCUGGGAUAACAGUCGGAAACGGUUGCUAAUACUGGAUAUGAGCUUGCAAGGCAUCUUGUGGGUUGGAAAGAUUUUUUUGGUUGGGGAUGGACUCGCGGCCUAUCAGCUUGUUGGUGAGGUAGUGGCUCACCAAGGCUUCGACGGGUAGCCGGCCUGAGAGGGCGACCGGCCACAUUGGGACUGAAAUACGGCCCAAACUCCUACGGGAGGCAGCAGUGGGGAAUAUUGCACAAUGGACGGAAGUCUGAUGCAGCAACGCCGCGUGCGGGAUGACGGCCUUCGGGUUGUAAACCGCUUUCAAUUGUGACGAAGCUUUUUGUGACGGUAGCAGUAGAAGAAGCACCGGCUAACUACGUG
rnacentral:rRNA from 1 species